AGGGUGUAAACGCUGCAGACUUGGUGUUGGAAGUCCUUUGGGGGCAUUCAGUGCCGGAGAGAAGUUGUUAAGUCUGCUACUUGGGGAGUACGUCCGCAAGGAUGAAACUUAAAGGAAUUGGGCGGGGGGAGCACCGCAACGGGAGGAGCGUGCGGUUUAAUUGGAUUCAACGCCGAAAAACUCACCAGCAGCGACUGUUACAUGAAAGUCAGGUUGAUGACCUUACUAGAUUUUCAGAGAGGUGGUGCAUGGCGUCAGUGACU
rnacentral:rRNA from 1 species